UACGGGGGGGGCGAAGCGUUUGUUCGGAAUUACUGGGCGUAAAGGGCUCGUAGGUGGCCAACUAAGUCAGACGUGAAAUCCCUCGGCUUAACCGGGGAACUGCGUCUGAUACUGGAUGGCUAGAGUUUGGGAGAGGGAUGCGGAAGUUCCAGGUGUAGCGGUGAAAUGCGUAGAAUAUCUGGAGGAACACCGGGUGGCGAAGGCGGCAUCCUGGACCAACACUGACGCUGAGGAGCGAAAGCCAGGGGAGCAAACGGGG
rnacentral:rRNA from 1 species